rnacentral:lncRNA from 1 species
CUGAGGCAUGAGCACUGUUGGCAUUGCUCUCCUGGACUGCAUUCCAGUUAUUCCCUCAAAGGAAACAGCCCAGGAUGGCUGCAGAUGUGCCUAUACCAGGUCCCCCCUAAAGCCUAUAGAAUUUCACUCUGGGUAGAAAGAGGUCCAAAAUGGCUGCAAGGUAGGCCGGACCCAGCUGCCCAAAAGGACUAGGCCCUGGCCCAGCCCUUUCCAGAGUAUCAUUUGGCCUCAGUCCACUUUGCCAACUGGCUGCCAGAGCUGACAAAAGGCCCCUGGCAUUGCCCUCUGUCAGAACCUGGCCUAGAUAGUGCCCUUUACUAGAGUUAUCCCAUCAACCGUUGCAGGUACACAGAAAUGAAUAUCACAUACCCCUACUUUACAGGUGAGGACAGGAGGCUGAGAGGGCACCAUUAACCAGGAUCUAGAGCCAGAUUCAACCUGGAUGCUAGUUUCAUGCUCUGACUAGAGAGAUGCUGCAGGGUCAUAGCAGCCCCAGGAGAAGCCCAUGUACUCCCUCAGCUCUCAGCAUCAGGGCUGCCAGGACCACUGGGACUCAUGGCAUGAAGAUCUGACAGGGAGAAGUAGGUGUUGCUUUCCAGCUCAGGACAGAUUCAAAGCCACACAUUUAACAGGCAAGAAGAUAGGCACCCAAUAGCAAUGAGGGGAUGGCAGGCAGCCAGACAUGCAGGAGGACAUGGAAAAAAUGUCUUUUUUACAAAAGGAUAUACUUGUAUUUCACAUAAGUUUCCAGUUCAUAAAUUCUGUCCACACUGGUUAUUCGUUUUAGCCCCAUGAUGGUGCUGGGAGGAAGCAGGACACCCAUUCCAUAGAUGAGGAAAAAAUACCAUCAGGGUUUCUAGACCAUGUGUCCAAAUAAUUUCUUUGACUGCUGGUUUUCAGUUGAACUAUUCAGAGCCUCUGGGGUCCAUGGAACUUCCCAUACUGUCUUUCAUAAU